GAUGAACGCUGGCGGCGUGCUUAACACAUGCAAGUCGAACGAUGAAGCCCAGCUUGCUGGGUGGAUUAGUGGCGAACGGGUGAGUAACACGUGAGUAACCCGCCCUUAACUCUGGGAUAAGCCUGGGAAACUGGGUCUAAUACCGGAUAGGAGCGCCUACCGCAUGGUGGGUGUUGGAAAGAUUUAUCGGUUUUGGAUGGACUCGCGGCCUAUCAGCUUGUUGGUGAGGUAAUGGCUCACCAAGGCGACGACGGGUAGCCGGCCUGAGAGGGUGACCGGCCACACUGGGACUGAGACACGGCCCAGACUCCUACGGGAGGCAGCAGUGGGGAAUAUUGCACAAUGGGCGAAAGCCUGAUGCAGCGACGCCGCGUGAGGGAUGACGGCCUUCGGGUUGUAAACCUCUUUCAGUAGGGAAGAAGCGAAAGUGACGGUACCUGCAGAAGAAGCACCGGCUAACUACGUG
rnacentral:rRNA from 1 species